rnacentral:rRNA from 1 species
UACGUAGGGUGCGGGCGUUAUUCGGAAUUACUGGGCGUAAAGCGUGCGCAGGCGGUUUUUUAAGUCAGACGUGAAAGCCCCGGGCUUAACCUGGGAAUGGCGUUUGGGACUGAGAGGCUAGAGUGUGGCAGAGGGGGGUGGAAUUCCACGUGUAGCAGUGAAAUGCGUAGAGAUGUGGAGGAACACCGAUGGCGAAGGCAGCCCCCUGGGCUGACACUGACGCUCAUGCACGAAAGCGUGGGGAGCAAACAGG